rnacentral:rRNA from 1 species
ACGCUAGCUACAGGCUUAACACAUGCAAGUCGAGGGCAGCGGGUUGAAAGCUUGCUUUCAUUGCCGGCGACCGGCGCACGGGUGCGUAACGCGUAUCAAACCUGCCUCAUACUCGGGGAUAGCCUUGCGAAAGUAAGAUUAAUACCCGAUGUUGUUGCUUUCUCGCAUGGGAGAGUAACCAAAGAUUUAUCGGUAUGAGAUGGUGAUGCGUCCGAUUAGGUAGUAGGCGGGGUAACGGCCCACCUAGCCUUCGAUCGGUAGGGGUUCUGAGAGGAAGGUCCCCCACACUGGAACUGAGACACGGUCCAGACUCCUACGGGAGGCAGCAGUGAGGAAUAUUGGUCAAUGGGCGAGAGCCUGAACCAGCCAAGUAGCGUGCAGGAUGACGGCCCUCCGGGUUGUAAACUGCUUUUAGUUGGGAAUAAAAAAAGGGACUUGUCCCUUCUUGUAUGUACCUUCAGAAAAAGGACCGGCUAAUUCCGUGCCAGCAGCCGCGGUAAUACGGAAGGUCCAGGCGUUAUCCGGAUUUAUUGGGUUUAAAGGGAGCGUAGGCGGAUUGUUAAGUCAGCGGUUAAAGGGUGUGGCUCAACCAUGCAUUGCCGUUGAAACUGGCGAUCUUGAGUGCAGACAGGGAUGCCGGAAUUCGUGGUGUAGCGGUGAAAUGCUUAGAUAUCACGAAGAACUCCGAUCGCGAAGGCAGGUGUCCGGGCUGCAACUGACGCUGAGGCUCGAAAGUGUGGGUAUCAAACAGGAUUAGAUACCCUGGUAGUCCACACAGUAAACGAUGUAUACUCGCGGUUUGCGAUAGAUUGUAAGCCGCCAAGCGAAAGCAUUAAGUAUACCACCUGGGGAGUACGCCGGCAACGGUGAAACUCAAAGGAAUUGACGGGGGCCCGCACAAGCGGAGGA